rnacentral:rRNA from 1 species
CCAAUAGCGUAUAUUAAAGUUGUUGCAGUUAAAAAGCUCGUAGUUGAAUUUCGGGGUUAGUAGGCUGGUCAUGCCUCUGGUAUGUACUGGUCUCACUGAUUCCUCCUUCCUGAUGAACCGUAAUGCCAUUAAUUUGGUGUUGCGGGGAAUUUGGACUGUUACUUUGAAAAAAUUAGAGUGUUUAAAGCAAGCUAACGCUUGAAUACAUUAGCAUGGAAUAAUGAAAUAGGACGUUCGAUCCUAUUUUGUUGGUUUCUAGGAUUGACGUAAUGAUUAAUAGGGAUAGUUGGGGGCAUUAGUAUUCAAUUGUCAGAGGUGAAAUUCUUGGAUUUAUUGAAGACUAACUACUGCGAAAGCAUUUGCCAAGGAUGUUUUCAUUAAUCAAGAACGAAAGUUAGGGGAUCGAAGACGAUCGGAUACCGUCGUAGUCUUAACCAUAAACUAUGCCGACUAGGGAUCGGAUGAUGUUAAUUUUUUAAUGACUCAUUCGGCGCCUUACG